rnacentral:SRP_RNA from 1 species
GGGCAGGUCUGACGCAGCGGAGAUCUCCAAACCCCGUCAGAUCCGAAAGGAAGCAGCGGUACAGAGGUUUCUCCGGGUGCCGUCAGGGUGCCUGCCCAGG